UUCAGGCCUGGCUCCGAAGAGAGGUGGGUCCUCUGUCUGUUUCUGCAUUCCCUCUAUUCCGAGAUGUUGUUUUGUUUGCAGUCUGUGGAGAAAAUCUGGCCUCAUAAAGUUAUAGGUACUUGCAGACUACUGUUUAAAUUUUCAUCUGCUCCGACAAGGAGACCAUGAGAGGCUGCUGGAGGAGCCUCGUGUGCAUGAAUGGGACCGGCUGCACCAGGGUUAUGUGACAGGCAAGACCUUGAGUUGGGCGAGGGCAGCGGACGUCACCGCCUGCACCCACAUGGGCACGUCCAGGGGCUGCCAACCUGCGGAGGGAAGGGGCUUUGCGAGGCGCGGUGCUGAAUGCUGCCGGGAGAAAGGCCCGGAGCCGGGCUGCCCUGAACCCCAAGAGUGCGGUACUGGGGCGCCGCGGAACACGGACACAGGGACCAACUCAGGGCAGUCACACCAAGCCGGCGCCUCCUGGCGGGGAGAGUAGAGGCCCCAAAUUCCAAAUUUUGCACAAAAGCUUGA